UACGUAGGGAGCUAGCGUUGUCCGGAAUCAUUGGGCGUAAAGCGCGCGUAGGCGGCCCGGUAAGUCCGCUGUGAAAGUCAAAGGCUCAACCUUUGAAUGUCAGCGGAUACUGCCGGGCUAGAGUCCGGAAGAGGCGAGUGGAACUCCUGGUGUAGCGGUGGAAUGCGCAGAUAUCAGGAAGAACACCAACGGCGAAGGCAGCUCGCUGGGACGGAACUGACGCUAAGGCGCGAAAGCGUGGGGAGCGAACAGG
rnacentral:rRNA from 2 species